GACAGAGGGUGCAACCGUUGUUCGGAAUUACUGGGCGUAAAGCGUGUGUAGGCGGCCAUGUAAGUCGGAUGUGAAAGCCCCAGGCUCAACCUGGGAAGUGCACUCGAUACUGCGUGGCUUGAGUAUCGGAGAGGUUGGUGGAAUUCUCGGUGUAGAGGUGAAAUUCGUAGAUAUCGAGAGGAACACCGGUGGCGAAGGCGGCCAACUGGACGAAUACUGACGCUGAGACACGAAAGCGUGGGGAGCAAACAGG
rnacentral:rRNA from 1 species